CUGUCAAUUGAGGAAGGUCGUGGAAGGCUGUCUGGAAGUGUUCAAUAACAUGAGCAAGAAACCCAUCAAAAAAUCUUGUAUUGUUUAGGCAAAACAAGAAACAAGAAACUUACAUCGUCAUUGUUCUUAUAAAAUGUCUAGUUGCAGGAGGUUACACCAAAUAUAAUGGCAAAGAAAAUUGUUUUGUUUCGUUUCGUUUUAAAAGACUCAUUAUUUGGCAUUUUUUUCUGUCAUUACCAACGAUGUGGAGUACAAUUUUAUGUAACAAAGCAUAUGAAUUUUUGUCUUUCAUUUUGCAUAUAUUGCACGUACAUCUGUCAAUCAUGCACUUUCAGAUUUUACAUCUGAAUUUGUAUUGUACUGCAUUGGCGAAGGAAAGGAGUAAUUUAUGAGCAGCACAACCCUGCAACAUAGGUGGUUGAGGGCAACAAUUAUACAUUCUAAAUAAGGUGUCAGGCAUUUCUUACAAAACAAAAAAGAGUGAGCAAUUCAAGGAUUAUACAAAGUUUUGUGCCAAAUGUAUAUCUUGUACGUCAUCAAGUUUUAUGAAACAGCCACCUGCGAAUGGGUAUGGCGGAAAUUUCAUAGUACCGUGAAGUAUUGUUAUGAUUGUUAUAGUAAGAUUUGUUCGUUGGAAGAUUACUUAGCAAUCGCUUCAUAAACAAAAAAAUGGUGCACGUAUAUUGCACAAACAGAAUUGAUGUAAUUUAACUACAACCAAAUAACCUCUGACAAAAAAGCAACCACUGCCACCAUCUUUUCGUCACGUGAUUUAAGUGCGUGACGUUUUAACACCCUCCGUACGAUUAUUAUGACUUAUGUUAUAUUUAUGCAAUAAAACUAAUAAUCCUUUUAUUAUGAACAAAAA